rnacentral:rRNA from 1 species
AUUGAACGCUGGCGGCAGGCCUAACACAUGCAAGUCGAGCGAGCGGCGGACGGGUGAGUAAUGUCUGGGAAACUGCCUGAUGGAGGGGGAUAACUACUGGAAACGGUAGCUAAUACCGCAUACCAUCAGAUGUGCCCAGAUGGGAUUAGCUAGUAGGUGGGGUAACGGCGCACCUGGGCGACGAUGCCUAGCUGGUCUGAGAGGAUGACCAGCGACACUGGAACUGGGACAAGGACCCGCAUCAUACGGGAGGCAGCAGUGGAGAAUAUUGCACAAGGGGCGCAGGCCGGAUGCAGCAAUGCCGCGUGUGUGAAGAAGGCCUUCAGGUUGUAAAGCACUUUCAGCGGGGAGGCGUUACCCGCAGACGAAGCACCGGCUAACUCCGUGCCAGCAGCCGCGGUAAUUC